rnacentral:lncRNA from 1 species
CACGCCCCACCUUCACGCCUCCAUGGAUCUGGUCAUGGACCCAUCACCGUCAAUGAACCGCACAUUGUGCAUAUAGGGUAGAAAAAUAGAUACUUGCUUAUGCUGUCGACAACUCAAGCAUCAUUUCGUAUACAUCAAUAUGCGAGUCUAUUAAAUUUAACUAAGAAAAUAUAAGUAUUAUUAUAUGCAAACAAACAACUGUUAUUCAAAUAUUGUCAAUGGAUAUGGAUACUUACAAGGAAAUAUUAAAUAUCUCACAAGCAAUAUGUCUAGUAAAUCAAAAUCAACUACAGGAAUGGAUCUUAACUUAUUAAGUGCCUGAUCUAGGUUUUGAAUCAGUAGUUAGUUUUCGCUCAGAUAAACAAAGUUUCAGCACCAACAAAUAUAAUAGCAACAUGUUAUAGGAGAGCGUAACCGAUAUACAUGAACCAAGCACUAACAGGAUCAAUCUGUUCUAUGAGCAAAUAGGUCAUGACUACCUGAUGAUUGUGCAGAGAAACAAGAAAGUGAUAGGUCACAACCUGAGACUGCACUUUGACUCCUUGCAUGUAAAGGUUUUUUUUUCGCUAACACGCCCGCCCCAGAAUGGACGUGUAUUUCAUUAAGCAGAAGUAGAAUCCAACCCAAAUACAGUUAAAAGAAACUAUUUGAAGAUAGGACACCAACUGUGUGUACCCAGGAAAGACUAAACUAUCUGAAGAUAGGACACCAUAUCCUAUUUGAACUACACUGAAAAUACAGAACCUGAAAACAUAGAUAGAGCAAGAAAUUCGGAAAACUUUGAAAUGCAGAACCGAUGCAACUGUAUAAGAAACAUUUGGCAGCUGCUACGGUCAGCUCAUUAAACUAUUCGGCUUGCAGCUUGAGCAGAAUUCUCCAUAAAGUAUAUAAUCAACUAACAAAUACGAUGUAGUAUCAUGAAUCAAUUUAGUUGCAUCAAAAUAAUCCCUUUGAGUGCAGCUAAAGCUCUAAAGGUCCAAUCCUAGUGUCAUACUACUAAACCCUAAAGAUAUGACAUUUUGAUAACACAAAUUACAGAGCACCUAUAAGACUAUAAUAUGGCCCAAAUCUAAAGCAAAUUUAAUACUAAACUUGAACACGUCUAAUAAAUUAAAAAUAAGACUGCAAUACUCCCAAAAAGCACGUUCAAGUAACCUUCAAACUGAAGCAAACUUAAUUAGCAUUUGUUGAUGCCACUGAAGCAAAAACAUAUAAUAAGCAGAUGGCGUACAACAGUGGAAAAUAAAAGAAGGUUCUUCAUUUUGACAAUAAAAUCAAUGUUGGAUACGGUGUAAAUAUAACCAAAAGACUGAAUUUGUCUGGCAAUUUCGCAAUACAGAUGAUAGCACACAUCAGUUCAGAUACAAACCUAUAAAUUCCGAUGCACUGAUGCUCCUGCCUCUUAUAGACUCACUCACUCAUCCUCCUUUCUUUGCAGUUUUACUUUGGUGUCAAAUGGAACAAUAAAUUAGCUUACAAGAUGGAACAAAAUAGUCCAGAUGCAAUAAGUAUAUGGGCUUACAUGUUACUGAUCCAAUGAAGCGCUAACCAUCUUGUUUAGUACUGUAUGGCCGAUGUUAUCUGAUUAAAACAAUAGCAGUACUUCAGCAGCAAGAAAUCAACAAUCAAAAUAUCAGGUAAGUAAUGAGAUAUCUGAAUAUGUAGUCAGUAAAAUUUUAACUAUAAUUUGCAACAAUUUACUGAUGCAGAUGACCCAUAGAUGGAAUUUAUUUUUGUAAUGUGACACCUGCAUCCAACCACAUAAUAUGAUGAAUUAAAAAAAGUCAUAUGUAUGCAAUAGUUGAGUUCUGUAGUGAUCUGGUUAUUAAUUUAUACUCAGAGCAUGAAUAUAUACGAUUGCAACGCAUGGGCACUUGAUUUAUAGCUUAUGAAAAAUAGCAUUAUAAUUUGCACUCUUUCGAGUAUAUAAGGUCAGGGCUGAUCAAUCAGCAACUGUGGUCCUCCGCAGAUCUCCACGAUUCCAUUGGUCAGUCUAAGUAGCAGUGUAGAAAGAAGAAAACUAACCAUAAAAAGGCUUAUGUGUGGCAUGAAUGCAACAGAAGUUAUAGAUGACAACUUGAACAAAAAAAUCCUAUUCGGAGCCAUAUCUAUGAUUGAUAUGCUAUUUGCAAUCACUGCAGAAAGAGCGAAACUUAUAUUGUUUUGUUUUGUUCAAGUGGCGAGUAAGAUGAUUGUGCCUUGAAGAAAUUAACUCUUCUGCAAUAAGCAAAGCAGUGUCGUUUUUUCCCUAGCCUAACCAUGUAGGAUAAAGCAUUGUCACAGGUGUGUACCUGACACUGAGAAGAGAUGGGAGAUUGUCUGAGCGAGGCAGUGGUGUUCGCGGGGAAGGGGCAGGGAGACUAUCAGCAUGCUUCAAUAGCGGCGUGCGACCGCCUAUCUUCCCUUCCCGACAGCAGGCUCGCCCGGCGGUGUGGAGACACGCGAGCUCCGGUGAAGGAGUUGAAUGGAGCAUUUGACCUUCGACCCUGGCUCGGGGAAACGCGAGCAGGCCACAACUCGGGGAACCGUACGGGAGGCGACGGCGGCGAGGCGAUGUCGCAGCGAGGCCACAGCGACCGUUGCCGCUCGAUUCGCCUGCUGCCUGUUUCUUAGUGCACGGCAACAGCGGCAUGGCGAGGUUGUGCAGCGGCUUCACGGUCGCGGACGCAGGGGUCGUAGGUGUCGCCGCCGGCGAGGUCAUCCAGCGGCGUCGCGGUCAUUGGCGAGGUCGUCCGGCGGUGUCGGGGUCGCAGGCGUCGCGUUGUCCAGCAGCAGCACGGCUGUGGUGUCUUGGCGUGGUGGUCUGGCGGCGGUUCCUUAGAGGCUUAGGCCAUGUUUAGAUUGGAGAUGAAAAUUUUUUGGGUGUCACAUCGGAUGUGUCGGAAGGAUGUCGGGAGAAGUUUUUAGAAACUAAUAAAAAAACAAAUUAGAUAGCUCAUCAGUAAACUACAAGACAAAUCUAUUAAGCAUAAUUAAUCUAUUAUUAGCACAUGUGAGUUACUGUAGCACUUAAGGCUGAUUAUGGAGUAACUAGGCUUAAAAGAUUCAUCUCACAUUUUUUAAUUAAACUGUGUAAUUAGUUUAUUUUUUAUGUACAUUUAAUGUUCCAUGCAUGUGUCCAAAAAUUUGAUGGGAUGGACGAAAAAAAUUUGGAUGGGGAACUAAACAGGGCCUUAGAUCUGAGCUGGGGUGGGCGUAGUGAGCGAGAGAUUCUUUUUGAGGAGACAAUAGGGAGAGGGGAGACUGCGUGGGAGGAAGUUUUUUUUUCGAGCGUCGGGAUUAGGGGAGGCAGGCCGAUUAGUUGUAGUAUGACGAUAUCACUUGGGGUUUUUUAGUUGUAGAGAUAUAAUAUAUUUAGACUUGUUUGGCAUAGCUCAACUCUAAUAAUAAUGUUGUUUUUAAAAAAAUAGCUUUAUGAGCAACUUUAUAGGUGAAGUUGAGAUAUUUUAAAAAAAAGAUUUUGAUAAAAUAGCUUCAUCAACUACUUUAUGUAUAGAUGAGAGAGGAAUGGGGGAGGGAGCUGUAAUAAGGCCUUGUUUAGUUUUGGGGGUUUAGGUACUAUAGCACUUUCGUUUUAUUUUACAAUUGUUGUCUAAUUAUGGACUAACUAGGCUCAAAAAAUUAUCUUGUACAGGCAAACUAUGUAAUUAGUUUUUGUUUUCAUCUGUAUUUAAUGCUCUAUGCAUGUGUCACAAGAUUCGAUGUGACGGAGAAUCUUGAAAAGUUCUUGGUUUUUGAGGUGAACUAAACAAGACAUAAGCUACUUUUUUCAGUUUCAUCCUAGGCCUUGUUUAGUUCCAAAAUAUUUUGCAAAAUCGACACUAUAGCUCUUUCGUUUGUAUUUGACAAAUAUUGUCCAAUCAUGGACUAACUAGGCUCAAAAGAUUCGUCUCGUCAAUUUCGACCAAAUUGUGCAAUUAGUUUUUAUUUUUAUCUAUAUUUAAUACUUCAUGCAUGUGUCUAAAGAUUCGAUGUGACGGAGAAUCUGAAAAAUUUUGCAAAAUUUUUUGGAACUAAACAAGGCCCUAACUCAUGUCUUUAUGAGGGGAGAAAAAAAUAGCUUCACCCAUAAAAUUAUUUUAGAAAUAAAUGUUUGACAAAAAACAGUUUAUAAAGCUAUUGUGAGCUAUACUAAACAGACUAUUAAUAGUCUUAUCCAAAUAAUCAAAUGAAAGUGGGAAACGGUGCAUGCAAAAUUAAGCCCGGCAUGAUAUUCAAUCUAUGCUCGGGUCUCACAACUAGUCUAAACAGGUCUAUAUCACCACCUUGCCUAAGCGAGACCCUAAGGGCGAGCGGUGCCAUGGCUGCACUAUUCUAUAUUGUCAUUUGUGAGUUGAAAUGACAUAAUUGCUUAAGUUUGAGGAAUUAUUUAAAUAAAUAAUUUAUGACUUUAGAGGCUGAGAUCACACGAUGAAACAAUUUUAAAGGUAGAAACAAGUAACAUGUGAGUUCAAAGACCGAGAUAACUCAACUAAGCAAGUUUAAAAACUAGCAAUGCACUUUACUCUUCUAAUUUAAGAACCAAGUGAUAGUGUGGCGAGUGGUACAUUUACCGAAUAAUGCCUCCCCAAAGCUGCCUCCCCAAAGCAUAAAUGAUAUUUUUAAUAGAUGGUCAGAGAGGGCUAAUAAGAAACAUAACACGUUAUUUUUGACAAUAGCGCACUUUAUUAAAUAGUUUAGCUGAAACAAGGUGGUUUUUGAUAACCGUAGACCAAAUUUUUUGAUAACCGUAGACCAAAAUUUUUUUAUAGGUACUUUAGCUUCGGCAAUGGGCUGUGAUGAUCAACAAGAUCAGCUUGCCUUGGUUGGGCAGCAUCUAGAGACGUGAGCCUUGCAUUUCUUUACUUUCAAUUGAUGACUGUCAACUAGAUUUUUUAGCUGAUUUUUUAGCUUUACGAGCCUGUUCGCUGGUCUGAAAAGUCAUGUCUGAAAGUAUCGUUUGCUGAUUUAUUAUGAGAGAAAAAACACUGCUAUGUGGCAUAAAAGGUACGGCUUAUAAGACAAGCAAAUGGAGCUAGUCAAUACUUUACCUUAUUUUUAUAUUUUCCUUAUGUUUUGUUGUAAGUUGGAAUACACUAUAGCUUGCGCGCUAGCCUACAGGCUAAAAUUUGUAAUAAUUAACCUGAUUAUAUAUUUAUAUUGGUUGAUAGAUGAAGUUAAACAUAAACUAUUCUUUAUUUAUUUUUAAAAAUUUACAAAAGUUGUUUCAUCCUUUGCCCGCUAACGAUCAAACUCUAGUUUUGACUCAUUUUUCUAUUUGUAGGCAGCACAGUCAUGCCUCCAUGACGACGGUGAUGGAAGUGAGCCCCCCCCCCGGCGAUGUUUCCCAUGUGGUAGGGUAAAAAUAAAUAAAAAAUGGUAACCACAAAUAUGAAAAUAGAAACAUUUUGGGCCCCUAACGGUUAUUGGUUUAUUUUACUCCCACAUCACUAUCAUUGGGUAUUUGAAUCUCCCAUAAGGCCGAUGCCAUAUUUAUUUAAUAGAUAACAUAUUUGAUUUGUUCACGAGGGAAAAUGUGAAACUUUCAUGGUCUAUUUGUUAUGGCGAAUGAAUUCACCCGACAUGAGCUUGUCAAAAACAGAAUGAGUCAAUCUGGAACUUUCAUGGUAUAAUGUAGUUGUUGGUUCGAUCUGUUAGAAUUAACUCUCUGAGGAAGCACUCGGCGAUGAACGGUGUGAUUCCACGCUUCAAACCAAAUAUAAUAUUCAAUUUGUUAGCUUCAGCUGUAGGUUCGAAUCAUUAUAGAUUGCCUUGUUCUGUAUAAACCAAACAUGGUGUAAACAUGGGGCUUUUCUAGUUGUUUCUUAUCAUUUGAACACAAUGAUAUUUCUUGUGACUUUUUUUUUACUUUUACGAUCUACUACCUCUAUUCUAAAUUAUAAGUUAUUUUAAUUUUUCUAGAUUUAUAAGUUUUACUAUAUAUCCCUAAAUGCAUAGCAAAAGUUAUACACAUAAAAAAGCCAAAACGGCUUACAAAUUGAAAUAGAGAGACUACUAUCGAAGACCUUUGUAUGAUGUAUGACAGAUAGAUUGGACGUGCAUACUCCAUAAGAAAAGGUUUGCACGCAGGUGUUUCACAAAAUUUAUUUUUAACCCUCUCAUAAACUUUCUAUACUUCUUUCUCUAUAGUUCUUUUUUUGAGAAACCUAUACUUCUCUUUAAUUUUGAUCCUAGCGGCCCAUCUUUGACCACGCUCAAUGGGCCAGAUCCAUGCAAAGCCCGCAAAGACCGCGUCUUUUGCAAACCUGUUUUCAGAAUCUUGUCCCGAAACCCGCGGGCCCACCUGCCAGUGAGGCAUCGCCCACGAAAUCCAGCAGCGAAAGAACCAGCGCGGCAGCAGCUCCCGCGGUUUCUUUUUUUUCGCGGCGCGCCAUUACGAAAAAGCUCUUCCCGCCGGCGCGCCCCGCGCGACAGAAUCCUCCUCCAUUAAACCCCUCGCGCUCAAUGCCUGCCCGCCAUUUCCUUUCCCUCUCUCCGUCAGCGCCUCUGCCCAUCUCUCUCUCUCAUCUCUCUGACUCAUGGCGACGCGGCGGCGCCUCUCUCCGACUUUCUUCGGCGGUCUACGGGCCCGGGAGCUCGGCGGCGCCAGUGGCUGCUCCCGCGCCAUGGCGGGGCUCCCGUACCUCGCUGACCUCUCCUCCGACCCCGGCGGCCGUGGCGGCGGGGUCAUAGCCGUCGACCACUCCGGCGACGCCGCCAUCCCCUUCGCCAUCUCCUUCGGCAAGGUUCGGAGCCUGGGAUCUGUCCCCCCCCCCCCCCCCCCCCCUCCUAAACAAGGGAUCUCUCAUUUCUCGCGUGCUUUUGCAAAGUCAAACCUUCUUUCUAGCUGCUAUUUGCGAGUACCAAUCUUUUGAUGAAAUUGCCUCGUUCGUCCAGACUGCACAGACCUGUAACCUCCUGGCGGUCGCCGACGAAGACGGGUACGUUGGCCUCUACGACACCCGCCGGCGCCUCCCUUCCGCAUCCUCGUCAAUAGAGAAGUCAGGUGGGUUGGAAACCUUCACUGCUCCCCCGAUUCGAUCCAAGAUUUGGGUGUGCUAGACCUUACGCCGGGUACCUCGUGCGAUCCGUUCUGUUCCAAUCUGACGUCGUCCUUUGCAGCUGAAACGAGGGUGUCCGACUGGGUUGCUCACAACAAUGCAAUCUUUGACGUGUGCUGGAUCAAGGUAAAUUCACUUGCACUGAUUGGAACACUCCAACGAAAUAGCCGCUCCUCAGGUUAAAAUUUCAUCAAUAUGUGUACCUUUCUGACGGAGUUUCAAUCUUAUGUGUUACUAAUGUAGGAGGGAUCCCAAAUGCUGACUGCAUCGGGCGAUCAAACUGUAAGUCGCAACAGGAUCACACCAAUUAUUGAACUAUGAAUUCAUUGUAUUAUGCAAAAUCUCAUUACUAUCGUUCUGCAUCAGGUCAAAAUAUGGAGUGUAGGAAACAGGAAAUGCAUUGGUGUCUUGUCAGGACAUACUGGGAGUGUGAAGUCGCUGUCUUGCCAUUCUUCAAAUCCUGGUUAGUAAUGUAUAUCCUGAAUGGCUGAAGCCUUUCAGUUUACUUUUAUGCAGAUUUAAUCCUCAAAGGUUGGCCACAAACUCCUGUUUAAGUAGUUUAUUUUCUUUGCAGAGCUCAUUGUUUCUGGUUCAAGGGAUGGUUCAUUUGCUCUUUGGGAUCUAAGAUGCGACCCUAAAUCUCCAAACAGCCAUGGUGAAACGUGCCUCACGUAUGUUGCCUAUUGCUAGUAAAUGUUCUCUUUAAACUACAAAUUAAGUGAUCAUAAAUGUUUGUAGCGACAAUACAAAUUCAUUGAACAAAGUUCUGCUACAUGUUAGGUCUUCUGCUGUUGUCAGAGAAGCCCACAGUCCCAUACAGAGGAACCGAACCCGGUCUCGAGCAAAGGUAUUAAAUUGGCAUGAUAUGGCUUUUGCUUGUGACGAUCUUAUGUCCUCUUAUGCCCUCUUAUGCUUAUGUUGGUUUGCUGAAAUUGGUGAAUUUAGGCGGCUUCAACAAGUAUCACAUCAGUUCUUUAUCUGAAAGAUGAUGUCUCCAUUGCUACUUCUGGAGCUGCAGACAAGUAAGCUGCUCUUUCAUUUUUAUUCUGCUUUUUAUUUUUUAACCAACCUUCACAGUUUUUGUAUGGUUUGUAUAGUUUUAUUAAUUGCUAUGUUAUUUUAAACACAAUGCACUUACCUGACGAUGAGUUAGCCUCAUGUCAUCUACUCAUUCUGUUUCUUAAAAAAAUCAGUUUUGUAGAGUAAUUAUCAUAUUUUCAUGUAUCUUGAAAUACUAAUAUUGUACUUUUUUAAAUGUACGCCAGUGUUGUGAAGAUAUGGGAUACACGGAACCUGAAAGUGCCGGUCUCUAACAAAAGCUCUCAAGCAGGGGCCCAGCCUUUGGUAAACAUCUCUAUCCACUAAUGAAUGUUAAACUAGUAGUACAAAAAAAGCACAUUAUCUAAAAAAGUACAAAAAACAAUAGGGAAUUGUGUAUUUCAGAGUAUAAACAUGUAUGCCAAUUUGAAUCAAUAAUUACAGAGUGCUGUGUUUUCAUAGCUCAAUCUGAACAAACUUGGUCCUUUGUUUCUGAAGGAGGGGGUGAAACAUGGCAUCUCUUGCCUGUCUCAAGAUUCGUGUGGUGCAUACAUUGCUGCGUCAUGUAUGGAUAACAGGUAAAUUCAGACCCUGUCAUCAGACACUAAAAUUUUUUCAUGCUAUUGGUAAAUACUGAUUUUGACCGUAUGCAUUUCAGAAUCUAUUUGUACAGUGUUCUCCAUGUGAACAAGGGUCCCAUAAAGGCUUACACUGGCAGCAAAAUAGAGUCUUUCUUUGUCAAGGUCAGUGAGUGGCUAUCUUGGGCUGACUUCCUUUAAAUGUCGAGCUGCUUAUGUUUAGUUUGAUCAAUAUUUGUUCUGAAACACCUAAACUUUGUAUCAUGCAGUCUGCUAUCAGUCCUGAUGGAACUCACAUCCUUGGUGGAUCAAGUGAUGGAAAUGUAUACCUGUGGCAGGUACUUGUCGCAGAUCUGUUGCCUGCUUUCUUACACUAUACUACAUCAUUAUAAUAUUUACAUCCAUGCUUGUCCAUUGACAUAGGUGGAUCGACCUGAAAGUGCUCCUAUAGUUUUGAAAGGCCAUGAAGGCGAAGCAACUUCGGUUGACUGGUACGAUCUACAAACAUAAAUAUUUCUGUGGAACCCUUACUGAUAACCCAAUCCUCAUGCUUCAAUAUGAAUUUAUAUUUCAGGUGUGCAUCAGAGGUUGGAAAGAUAGCAACAUCUUCUGAUGAUUCUACGGUAAGUCUACUUGGUUAUGCCUGAAUUUUUUUUCUUGACACAUACUAAAGAUGGCUCCAUUUGUUCAAUAUAUCAUAUGUGUUUGCGACAGUCUGUUGUAGACAAGAGCAUCUACAAUUUUUGUGCAAAGCAAUGCAUAUCAGAGUAUGAAAUGAAUCAGAAUUCAGAACAUGUGACAAUUCUGUAUUCUGUGUAUCAGGUACGUGUGUGGAGUACCAAGAAAAUGGACUGCACAAAUGUAAGCUCACCAACAGUGAUUCGGAAGCGGAUAACUGCACCAAACACUGAGUACCGAAGGUCCAGUAGCCAUGAGCAUGCUACUACAUCAAGAGAUGCAGUUGCCUGCACUAGUGGUGAUGGUGAAUUGCAAAGUGGUUGCCACUCUCCCCUUCAACCCAGAGCACUGGACUUCGGCACUCCUGAAUCGACAAAGAAGAGGGCCUUCACAUUGGUCCAGGAGGAGGCCCUUGAUGCAAGGAAGAGCCCGGAAGUUCAGAUGAACAGUCCCUCUUCUGUUCUGAGCCCACCACCGUCAUUGAAACGGAGAACGAUUCGGGACUACUUUGCCAGUGCUGCAUCUUGAAUCCUGACAAAUAGCUGGUCCUCAGAAUUCUUAGUGGCCCUGACCCAUGAAGACUAGGGCUUUCUUUAACUUAACUUAUGGUGAAACAGCUCCAAAUUUUGGGAAAUUCUUCUGUAGGUCUAGUUGUGUGAAGUUCAUUAUUGAUCAUUUGGAAAUGCGGUUGUACAUAAUUUGGUAUUGCAGAACCACCCUCUUUACUUUGUAAUAUUGUUUUUUUUUUUCAAUUGAGCUCGGUCUGACAGAAUUGCAGAAAUAUUUCAAUCAAUCUCUAUAAAUUCAAAGGGCAUCUUCAGUUAAAGCUUGCAUGCAACCGUAAAAUUUCCUGGUGAGGUAGGCGUCUUCGAGACUUAGAGCACAGAGAGCACUGUGCUUUGUCAUGCGUCAUUUACUCGUUUUAGAGCUAUGAAGCAUCGCCAAAUUUGUAUCCAAUUCAACCCCCGUCUUGGAUCAUAGGAUUGUUUUUUUUUAGAAAACAGGAGGAGCUUACACCCCUACUGAAGUUUAUUAAAAUUAAAAAAAGAAAGAAAAAGAGUACAUGAGAAGUUCAGAGUUUGCAAUAGUUAUUGCAAAAGUGUCCGUUGGGAAUUUAUUCAUUUAAUAUAGUCAUUGGAAACAUUGUCAGUUUGUCACUGCAAAAGUAGCCAUCGAAAUUACGAAGUAUAUUCCUACAAAUUAUACCCAUUCAAAUUGACACGAUUAAAAUUAACUGUUUCAGUGGAAAUACUAAGCUAAAUAAAGAAGUUAUUGGAGUGGGCUCAAAAAUAGAGAGCCAGCAAGUCUGAAAUAGCAAAAUAUGUUGUUGCUUUAUGGCAUAGAGAUACUCCUGCAGGCUGGAGAGAAGGGUGAUGAACUGGUUAUUUGAAUCCUACGAAGCUCCCAGUCAAUUUGAAUUUGAAUUCUCUAACACGACAGUACAACAUCUACUGGGCCAUAAGUUACCAACCAACUACGCUAGCCGACUCGGCCACCGUCUGCUGUCUGGCGCUGUCCAUGCACAUGUGCACACAUGUACACCGCUUGGCGCUGGCACGCACCCAACGACACACCUGACAGCCCGGGACUCCCGCCUCCGGCCCGCGCGUGCCGUGUCAGCCUCCGUCGAGCGGUGUACUCCAUGCAAGCCUCCACCCCGGCCACGUACCCCCCUCCCUUCCCCUACGUGUCACCGCUCUCGCCACCUAUAUACGGCGGCGGCCUCGGCCAGGCCUUUCCACUUCACUUCUCCCUCCUGCAACUGCAAAGCUCCUUGAUCCACCCUCGAUCACUCACUCCACCACCGCGGCCGCAGCGCGCGCGCACCGCGCAAACAACCAACUCGGCAGCGACAGCAAUGGCGGAUCGCGACCGCAGCGGCAUCUACGGCGGCACCUACGGGCAGCAUCAGCAGGGGGGCGGCCGCCCGAUGGGUGAGCAGGUGAAGGGCAUGAUCCAGGACAAGGGUCCCACGGCGUCGCAGGCGCUGACGGUGGCGACGCUGUUCCCGCUGGGCGGGCUGCUGCUGGUGCUGUCGGGCCUGGCGCUGGCGGCCUCCGUGGUGGGGCUGGCGCUGGCCACGCCCGUGUUCCUGCUCUUCAGCCCCGUGCUCGUCCCGGCCGCGCUGCUCAUCGGGACGGCCGUGACGGGGUUCCUCACGUCGGGCGCGCUGGGGCUCGGGGGACUCUCCUCGCUCACGUGCCUCGCCAACACGGCGCGGCAGGCGUUCCAGCGCACCCCGGA